AACGAACGCUGGCGGCAGGCUUAACACAUGCAAGUCGAACGCCCCGCAAGGGGAGUGGCAGACGGGUGAGUAACACGUGGGAACCUUCCUCGUUGUACGGAACAACUCAGGGAAACUUGAGCUAAUACCGUAUACGUCCGAGAGGAGAAAGAUUUAUCGCAAUGAGACGGGCCCGCGUCGGAUUAGCUAGUUGGUGGGGUAACGGCCUACCAAGGCGACGAUCCGUAGCUGGUUUGAGAGAACGACCAGCCACCCUGGGACUGAGACACGGCCCAGACUCCUACAGGAGGCAGCAGUGGGGAAUCUUGGACAAGGGGCGCAAGCCUGAUCCAGCCAUGCCGCGGGAGUGAAGAAGGCCGUCGGGUUGUAAAGCUCUUUUGUCAGGGACGAUAAUGACGGUACCUGAAGAAUAAGCCCCGGCAAACUUCGUGCCAGCCGCCGCCGUAA
rnacentral:rRNA from 1 species